CCUACGGGAGGCAGCAGUGGGGAAUAUUGGACAAUGGACGAAAGCCUGAUCCAGCCAUGCCGCGUGUGUGAAGAAGGCCUUCGGGUUGUAAAGCACUUUCAGUGGGGAAGAAAGCCUUGGGGCUAAUACCCUCGAGGAAGGACAUCACCCACAGAAGAAGCACCGGCUAACUCCGUGCCAGCAGCCGCGGUAAUACGGAGGGUGCGAGCGUUAAUCGGAAUUACUGGGCGUAAAGCGCGCGUAGGCGGUCUGAUAAGCCGGUUGUGAAAGCCCCGGGCUCAACCUGGGAACGGCAUCCGGAACUGUCAGGCUAGAGUGCAGGAGAGGAAGGUAGAAUUCCCGGUGUAGCGGUGAAAUGCGUAGAGAUCGGGAGGAAUACCAGUGGCGAAGGCGGCCUUCUGGACUGACACUGACGCUGAGGUGCGAAAGCGUGGGUAGCAAACAGGAUUAGAUACCCUAGUAGUC
rnacentral:rRNA from 1 species